rnacentral:rRNA from 1 species
UACGAAGGGGGCUAGCGUUGCUCGGAAUUACUGGGCGUAAAGGGCGCGUAGGCGGAUAUGUUUAGUCAGAGGUAAAAGCCCAGGGCUCAACCUUGGAACUGCCUUUGAUACUGGCUAUCUUGAGUUCGGGAGAGGUGAGUGGAAUGCCGAGUGUAGAGGUGAAAUUCGUAGAUAUUCGGCGGAACACCAGUGGCGAAGGCGACUCACUGGCCCGAUACUGACGCUGAGGCGCGAAAGCGUGGGGAGCAAACAGG